UCCUCAGGACCCCCUCAGUCAUCUGUCAGGCUGCUGCAGUUCCCAGUGUCUGCAGGGGGACUGGGGCUGCAGCCAGAGGAGAUCACUGUACAUGCUCAGAAAUGCUGUUAUCCCCCUCCAGCUGCUGCAGGGGGAAGGCCCCCUCCCCUCCACCCGGGUACGCUUUGGUGAUUGAAUUACAAAGUAGUGGAUGAUCAUUGAACCCAGUGCUGAUUCCCCUCCCCCUCUCCCACCUCCAGCACUUCCCCCCAGGAUCCUCCCCUUGAACUCCUACUGCUGCUCCUGACCACCACCUUCUGUCUGGGGCUGGUUGCAUCGUACCCAAGCCAGCAUGAAUUAAUGCCUCCAGAUUAAUUUGCGGGGCCCCAUCUCAAAUGCUUAACAGAGACCCAGACGUCUGCCUCAGCCCCUCUGUGGACUCAUUUGGCAAUUGUAAUUGAAAAACACAAAAGCAA